GGUGUCAGGAUCUAGUUCAGUUGGUUCCGAUUCAAAAUCUUUGCUUACCUGUUCAAAAUUUCAUUUUGAAGAAAAGGUGUUAGAGAAGCUUGUACGCUUGGAACAUAAAAUGGAAAUAACUCAGGAAAAGAUGAAUAAAUGGGAAGUGAAGUUAGAGUCAUUGUCUUUGAAAAUAGACGAACAGAUGAAGAGAUGGGAGGAUAUUUUUUUAUCCAAAUUGGUUCAAAUGGAUAAAGCCGUGAACAAAACAGAGACAUUUGUUGAGUCAGUGCGAGAUAUACAAUUACAGGAACAAUCACGAAUUAACAAUUUGUACCAAGAAAGUGUUGAACAUUUUAAAAUUCGAUCGCAAAAUGAAUCCGAAAUGUAUGGACAACAUAUUAAUUCAAUGUUAGAAUCUAUGUCUUCAAAACUUGAAGAAGUCGGUGCCGCUGAAAAGAGAAUACUAGGCAAAUCAAUGGAAUUAAUGCAGCAUACCUUUCAGCAAGAUCAGGGACGAUUCAACCAAUCAUUUGACCUUUUCUUGGAAAACACCAA
rnacentral:lncRNA from 1 species